GGUCAAGUGAAGAAGCGCAUACGGUGGAUGCCUUGGCAGUCAGAGGCGAUGAAAGACGUGGUAGCCUGCGAAAAGCUUCGGGGAGUCGGCAAACAGACUUUGAUCCGGAGAUCUCUGAAUGGGGGAACCCACCUAGGAUAACCUAGGUAUCUUGUACUGAAUCCAUAGGUGCAAGAGGCGAACCAGGGGAACUGAAACAUCUAAGUACCCUGAGGAAAAGAAAUCAACCGAGAUUCCCUUAGUAGUGGCGAGCGAACGGGGAUUAGCCCUUAAGCUUCAUUGAUUUUAGCGGAACGCUCUGGAAAGUGCGGCCAUAGUGGGUGAUAGCCCCGUACGCGAAAGGAUCUUUGAAGUGAAAUCGAGUAGGACGGAGCACGAGAAACUUUGUCUGAACAUGGGGGGACCAUCCUCCAAGGCUAAAUACUACUGACUGACCGAGAUAGUGAACCAGUACCGUGAGGGAAAGGCGAAAAGAACCCCGGAGAGGGGAGUGAAAUAGAACCUGAAACCGUAUGCGUACAAGCAGUGGGAGCCUACUUGUUAGGUGACUGCGUACCUUUUGUAUAAUGGGUCAGCGACUUAUAUUCAGUGGCAAGCUUAACCGUAUAGGGUAGGCGUAGCGAAAGCGAGUCUUAAUAGGGCGUUUAGUCGCUGGGUAUAGACCCGAAACCGGGCGAUCUAUCCAUGAGCAGGUUGAAGGUUAGGUAACACUGACUGGAGGACCGAACCCACUCCCGUUGAAAAGGUAGGGGAUGACUUGUGGAUCGGAGUGAAAGGCUAAUCAAGCUCGGAGAUAGCUGGUUCUCCUCGAAAGCUAUUUAGGUAGCGCCUCAUGUAUCACUCUGGGGGGUAGAGCACUGUUUCGGCUAGGGGGUCAUCCCGACUUACCAAACCGAUGCAAACUCCGAAUACCCAGAAGUGCCGAGCAUGGGAGACACACGGCGGGUGCUAACGUCCGUCGUGAAAAGGGAAACAACCCAGACCGCCAGCUAAGGUCCCAAAGUUGUGGUUAAGUGGUAAACGAUGUGGGAAGGCUUAGACAGCUAGGAGGUUGGCUUAGAAGCAGCCAUCCUUUAAAGAAAGCGUAAUAGCUCACUAGUCGAGUCGGCCUGCGCGGAAGAUGUAACGGGGCUCAAACCACACACCGAAGCUGCGGGUGUCACGUAAGUGACGCGGUAGAGGAGCGUUCUGUAAGCCUGUGAAGGUGAGUUGAGAAGCUUGCUGGAGGUAUCAGAAGUGCGAAUGCUGACAUGAGUAACGACAAUGGGUGUGAAAAACACCCACGCCGAAAGACCAAGGGUUCCUGCGCAACGUUAAUCGACGCAGGGUUAGUCGGUUCCUAAGGCGAGGCUGAAAAGCGUAGUCGAUGGGAAACAGGUUAAUAUUCCUGUACUUCUGGUUACUGCGAUGGAGGGACGGAGAAGGCUAGGCCAGCUUGGCGUUGGUUGUCCAAGUUUAAGGUGGUAGGCUGAAAUCUUAGGUAAAUCCGGGGUUUCAAGGCCGAGAGCUGAUGACGAGUCGUCUUUUAGAUGACGAAGUGGUUGAUGCCAUGCUUCCAAGAAAAGCUUCUAAGCUUCAGGUAACCAGGAACCGUACCCCAAACCGACACAGGUGGUCGGGUAGAGAAUACCAAGGCGCUUGAGAGAACUCGGGUGAAGGAACUAGGCAAAAUGGCACCGUAACUUCGGGAGAAGGUGCGCCGGCUAGGGUGAAGGAUUUACUCCGUAAGCUCUGGCUGGUCGAAGAUACCAGGCCGCUGCGACUGUUUAUUAAAAACACAGCACUCUGCAAACACGAAAGUGGACGUAUAGGGUGUGACGCCUGCCCGGUGCCGGAAGGUUAAUUGAUGGGGUUAGCGCAAGCGAAGCUCUUGAUCGAAGCCCCGGUAAACGGCGGCCGUAACUAUAACGGUCCUAAGGUAGCGAAAUUCCUUGUCGGGUAAGUUCCGACCUGCACGAAUGGCGUAACGAUGGCGGCGCUGUCUCCACCCGAGACUCAGUGAAAUUGAAAUCGCUGUGAAGAUGCAGUGUAUCCGCGGCUAGACGGAAAGACCCCGUGAACCUUUACUGUAGCUUUGCACUGGACUUUGAGCCUGCUUGUGUAGGAUAGGUGGGAGGCUUUGAAGCGUGGACGCCAGUUCGCGUGGAGCCAUCCUUGAAAUACCACCCUGGCAUGCUUGAGGUUCUAACUCUGGUCCGUAAUCCGGAUCGAGGACAGUGUAUGGUGGGCAGUUUGACUGGGGCGGUCUCCUCCUAAAGAGUAACGGAGGAGUACGAAGGUGCGCUCAGACCGGUCGGAAAUCGGUCGCAGAGUAUAAAGGCAAAAGCGCGCUUGACUGCGAGACAGACACGUCGAGCAGGUACGAAAGUAGGUCUUAGUGAUCCGGUGGUUCUGUAUGGAAGGGCCAUCGCUCAACGGAUAAAAGGUACUCCGGGGAUAACAGGCUGAUACCGCCCAAGAGUUCAUAUCGACGGCGGUGUUUGGCACCUCGAUGUCGGCUCAUCACAUCCUGGGGCUGAAGCCGGUCCCAAGGGUAUGGCUGUUCGCCAUUUAAAGUGGUACGCGAGCUGGGUUUAGAACGUCGUGAGACAGUUCGGUCCCUAUCUGCCGUGGACGUUUGAGAUUUGAGAGGGGCUGCUCCUAGUACGAGAGGACCGGAGUGGACGAACCUCUGGUGUUCCGGUUGUCACGCCAGUGGCAUUGCCGGGUAGCUAUGUUCGGAAAAGAUAACCGCUGAAAGCAUCUAAGCGGGAAACUUGCCUCAAGAUGAGAUCUCACUGGGAACUUGAUUCCCCUGAAGGGCCGUCGAAGACUACGACGUUGAUAGGCUGGGUGUGUAAGCGUUGUGAGGCGUUGAGCUAACCAGUACUAAUUGCCCGUGAGGCUUGACCAU
rnacentral:rRNA from 1 species